UUUCCGGUGGCGCUGGCCGCGGCUGACCGCGACCGCGCACCGGAGACGGCGGGCCGCCACCGCUUGGCUCGCGGCGCACGCCCACAAGUGUUGCGCCAUUAAUCUUUAGUGCAGAUUAAAUUAAAGCCACUCCACGCAAAACGCUAAAGAAAGCUCCUGACGAGAAGGCCUAUACUUAUCCCGGACUAGACCUACCUCACCGUGCCCUGCAUCUGCCUCGAGAAAAAUCCUUCCCAAAAUUGAAAUUCUCACCGAGGCCGUUUAUACCUCGGAUUAUGGAAUCUAUUGCGUCAACCUCGACGACCUAUCGGAUAAAUGACAACACACGCUAAGUUUACAAGUUUAGUGAGUGUCAUCUCACCAAUAUCGACUUGAACGUUUCAGAGCAUCGGAAACUUCUUUUGGAUACAGUUAAAUCCAAACUUAAAGUGAAUGUGGGACAUCCAAAUGUCUGUGGUGGCAGACAUUGUAUCUGUGUUAGUGUUGGUUUGUUCCUUCGCAUAACGCACUAGCAGACUGUGAUACGUCUGUGUAUGAGAACGUACGACUCCCAAGAAAAUGCCUAACUCUUCGUGAGCACCACAUCAAAGUAAAUGAUUCAUCUUGACAUUGUUUUUGGUAGAGACGUUACGUAAAUUGUACUAGAGAAACUUACCACCGCGCCAUUGGAUAUGCGCAAUCAUUAUUUAUAUGACAACGGUCUUCAGAACGUACUUCUGAAGAAGAUGUGUAAUGUUCGGACUACAGGAUUAUAAUUAUUGCUCUUGAUAUUGCUCACGUUGCUUUGAACGCUGUGGCCAAAUGUAAUGUGCUACGCAGUAGACUGGAGCAGCAACGUAGUAAAAUAAAUUGAAGCCUUGUAAGAAAUAUACUUACAUAAUGUUAGCUUCAACAACAAGAGUAACUAACUUAAGAAAAUAUAAUUUGUUCUUGUAACUUACAAAUUAUGGUCGUAAAUUGAAUCGCUGCGCAGAACAGCCAAAAUGUAUUAGACGUUUUUUCUUAGUAGGAUUAAUUAAUAUUAAUCAUGAAUGUAACCUAACCUAUAAUAUCACCUUACGAAAUAUUAUAUCAUAUUGUAAUCUUAGUCUAUAAGUAACUAAGUGGGUAUGUGAGGUGUUACGAAAUUAAGUUUGCUGUUUUUUUAAACUUUUUCCUGUUGGUGCAUACAGAAUAAUGUAAAAUGAUAGCAAAUUGUCAAUAAAACUAUCGGUAAAAUAAGAGACAAUCAAAAAUUUCCUGGCAUCCAAGGGGGUGUCAGUCAUUUUUAUUACAAAGAUACAGACCAUUUGACCUCUGAUUCAAGCUACCUUAGCGUCGAUUAUUAUGGUAACUUAGAAUUGAUUCGUAACAUGUUCCUAACUUUGUCGACUGCUUCAGCAAUUUUAUUGCUAACAUAGUGGUGACAAAGUUAAGACAAAUUACGCUUGUUUUUAAUAAAUGAUCCUUAAAGCGUAUGCUGUGAACAAUGGCUCCACUGUCAAUCGGGUUUGAAUGGUUUGUGUAUUUGGUUCAGAAUGUAAUGACAAAAUGUAACUGAUAAAUCAUAUGAAUUUUGUCUGUACCAGGAUACGUUUGAUAGCAAACUUAUGAAAUGCAAUGUCUUGUAUACUUACUUAACACUAAUGCAUAUGGCUCUCCGCUUACAUUAUAUUAAACACUGGCUAAUAUUCCAUAUAUAAAACAUACGUGUUAG